UGCAGUCGAACGAUGAGGGCCCAGCUUGCUGGGUCUGAUUAGUGGCGAACGGGUGAGUAACACGUGAGCAACCUGCCCCUGACUUCGGGAUAACCUCGGGAAAUCGUGGCUAAUACCGGAUAUGACGCCUCGCCGCAUGGUGGGGUGUGGAAAGACUGUGUCGGUUGGGGAUGGGCUCGCGGCCUAUCAGCUUGUUGGUGGGGUGAUGGCCUACCAAGGCGACGACGGGUAGCCGGCCUGAGAGGGUGACCGGCCACACUGGGACUGAGACACGGCCCAGACUCCUACGGGAGGCAGCAGUGGGGAAUAUUGCACAAUGGGCGCAAGCCUGAUGCAGCGACGCCGCGUGAGGGAUGACGGCCUUCGGGUUGUAAACCUCUUUCAGCAGGGGAGAAGGCCUUCGGGUUGACGGUACCUGCAGAAGAAGCGCCGGCUAACUACGUGCCAGCAGCCGCGGUAAUACGUAGGGCGCAAGCGUUGUCCGGAAUUAUUGGGCGUAAAGAGCUCGUAGGCGGUUUGUCGCGUCUGCUGUGAAAACGCGAGGCUCAACCUCGCGCCUGCAGUGGGUACGGGCAGACUAGAGUGCGGUAGGGGAGACUGGAAUUCCUGGUGUAGCGGUGGAAUGCGCAGAUAUCAGGAGGAACACCGGUGGCGAAGGCGGGUCUCUGGGCCGUUACUGACGCUGAGGAGCGAAAGCAUGGGGAGCGAACAGGAUUAGAUACCCUGGUAGUCCAUGCCGU
rnacentral:rRNA from 1 species